GAUGAACGCUGGCGGCGUGCCUAAUACAUGCAAGUCGAGCGAACGGACGAGAAGCUUGCUUUUCUGAUGUUAGCGGCGUACGGGUGAGUAACACGUGGUUAACCUACCUAUAAGACUGGUAUAACUUCGUGAAACCGGAGCUAAUACCGGAUAAUAUUUUCAACCGCAUGGUUCAAAAGUGAAAGACGGUCUUGCUGUCACUUCUAGAUGUAUCCUCGCUGCAUUAGCUAGUUGGUAAGGUAACGGCUUACCAAGGCAACGAUGCAUAGCCGACCUGAGAGGGUGAACGGGCACACUGGAACUGAGACACGGUACAGACUCCUACGGGAGGCAGAAGUAGGGAAGCGACCGAGAAGGGCGAAAGCCUGACGGAGCAACGCCGCGUGAGUGAUGAAGGUCUGCGGAUCGUAAAACUCUGUUAGUAGGGAAGAACAUAUGUGUAAGGAACUGUGCACAUCGUGACGGUACCUAAUCAGAAAGCCACAGCUAACUACGUG
rnacentral:rRNA from 1 species